AACACUUUUAACUCACACACACAACACCUAAAACACACACUAAACUCACGCAUAACACCAUUGUUGAGGAGUUGGAGCUUUUGACCUCCGAUUUGAGCACCGAGACGAGCGCCGAUCAUCUUUUCGAUCACGUAUCUAAGUAGGUCCUUUUGGGAAGUAACGACUUGAGGGAGAGAGUGACGUUACUCAUUGAUACAGAGACACAACGAGGUUGAGCUGAUGUGAUGAUGGUGUUGCAAUGAGCGGAGUCUCCAGGGUUGUUAAUAAAUAGUUAACCUGUCUAGAAUAUGUCUUCAUACAUAUGUCUAGCUACUUUCCGCUGCAAGAUGUUGUUGAUGUUAUAGUAUGUUAUGUCAUACUUUGAGUCUUAAGAGAAUGGUUUCAUACGAUGUAUAACUUGAUUAAUGAUAUUAAUUAAGUUUUAUGCUGUCUUUCA